CGAUGGGGAUGCGUUCCAUUAGGUUGUUGGCGGGGUAACGGCCCACCAAGCCUUCGAUGGAUAGGGGUUCUGAGAGGAAGGUCCCCCACAUUGGAACUGAGACACGGUCCAAACUCCUACGGGAGGCAGCAGUGAGGAAUAUUGGUCAAUGGACGAGAGUCUGAACCAGCCAAGUAGCGUGAAGGAUGACUGCCCUAUGGGUUGUAAACUUCUUUUAUACGGGAAUAAAGUGAGGCACGUGUGCCUUUUUGUAUGUACCGUAUGAAUAAGGAUCGGCUAACUCCGUGCCAGCAGCCGCGGUAAUACGGAGGAUCCGAGCGUUAUCCGGAUUUAUUGGGUUUAAAGGGAGCGUAGGCGGACGCUUAAGUCAGUUGUGAAAGUUUGCGGCUCAACCGUAAAAUUGCAGUUGAUACUGGGUGUCUUGAGUACAGUAGAGGCAGGCGGAAUUCGUGGUGUAGCGGUGAAAUGCUUAGAUAUCACGAAGAACUCCGAUUGCGAAGGCAGCUUGCUGGA
rnacentral:rRNA from 1 species